AUACGUAGAGAGCAAGCGUUGUCCGGAAUUACUGGGCGUAAAGGGUACGCAGGCGGAUAGUUAAGUCAACUGUGAAAAGUACCGGCUCAACCGGUAGAGUGCAGUUGAAACUGAUUAUCUUGAGUACAGAAGAGGAGAGCGGAAUUCCUGGUGUAGCGGUGGAAUGCGUAGAUAUCAGGAAGAACACCCGUGGCGAAGGCGGCUCUCUGGUCUGAGACUGACGCUGAGGUACGAAAGCUGGGGGAGCGAACGGGAUUAGAUACCCCGGUAGUCCCAGCCGUAAACGAUGGACACUAGGUGUUGGAGGUUCGAAUCCUUCAGUGCCGCAGUUAACGCGUUAAGUGUCCCGCCUGGGGAUUACGGUCGCAAGACUGAA
rnacentral:rRNA from 1 species